rnacentral:rRNA from 1 species
GCCUACGGGGGGCAGCAGUAGGGAAUCUUCCACAAUGGGCGAAAGCCUGAUGGAGCAACGCCGCGUGGGUGAAGAAGGUCUUCGGAUCGUAAAACCCUGUUGUUAGAGAAGAAAGUGCGUGAGAGUAACUGUUCACGUUUCGACGGUAUCUAACCAGAAAGCCACGGCUAACUACGUGCCAGCAGCCGCGGUAAUACGUAGGUGGCAAGCGUUAUCCGGAUUUAUUGGGCGUAAAGAGAACGCAGGCGGUCUUUUAAGUCUGAUGUGAAAUCCUUCGGCUUAACCGGAGCAGUGCAUUGGAAACU